GAUGAACGCUGGCGGCGUGCCUAAUACAUGCAAGUCGAGCGAACAGACGAGGAGCUUGCUCCUCUGACGUUAGCGGCGGACGGGUGAGUAACACGUGGAUAACCUACCUUUAAGACUGGGAUAACUUCGGGAAACCGGAGCUAAUACCGGAUAAUAUAUUGAACCGCAUGGUUCAAUAGUGAAAGACGGUUUUGCUGUCACUUAUAGAUGGAUCCGCGCCGCAUUAGCUAGUUGGUAAGGUAACGGCUUACCAAGGCAACGAUGCGUAGCCGACCUGAGAGGGUGAUCGGCCACACUGGAACUGAGACACGGUCCUGACUCCUACGGGAGGCAGCAGUAGGGAAUCUUCCGCAAUGGGCGAAAGCCUGACGGAGCAACGCCGCGUGAGUGAUGAAGGUCUUCGGAUCGUAAAACUCUGUUAUUAGGGAAGAACAAAUGUGUAAGUAACUAUGCACGUCUUGACGGUACCUAAUCAGAAAGCCACGGCUAACUACGUG
rnacentral:rRNA from 1 species